rnacentral:tRNA from 1 species
GGGGAUGUAGCUCAGGGGGAGAGCGCAGCCAUGGCACGGCUGAGGCCGCGGGUUCGAUUCCCGCCAUCUCCA